AUGGAGGUCGCCGGCAAGCAGGCAGCUGCCCUUUGUGCCUUUUCAUCGUCAGGGAGGAUGCCGUCCAGCAGCGCCGUCCUCGAGAUGAACGAGUUGGGCUUGGACGUUGCUGGCCGCCGACUUGGUCUGCAAGAGGACGCUCCACUGCCGCGGCAGGCCAUGGAGAGAGUAAGAUUUCAUCGUCUUUCUGAUCUCCUAUUUCCUUUUCUAUGUGGAGCUUCAACAAUUAGUUCUGGAGCAGUGUUAGUUCCGGACUACCUGAUUGAUCUCUACUCUAAUAUCAAUGUCAUUGUUCACAUGCUUGUAAUAUAA
rnacentral:rRNA from 1 species